rnacentral:rRNA from 1 species
UGGGGAAUUGUUCGCAAUGGGCGCAAGCCUGACGACGCAACGCCGCGUGGAGGAUGAAGGUCUUCGGAUUGUAAACUCCUGUUGAUCGGGACGAAAAGCUUCAACCUAAUACGUUGAAGACUGACGGUACCGGUUGAGGAAGCCACGGCUAACUCUGUGCCAGCAGCCGCGGUAAUACAGAGGUGGCAAGCGUUGUUCGGAAUUACUGGGCGUAAAGGGCGCGUAGGCGGCCUCCUAAGUCGGACGUGAAAGCCCCAGGCUUAACCUGGGAACUGCGUCUGAUACUGGGAGGCUUGGAUUCGGGAGAGGGAUGUGGAAUUCCAGGUGUAGCGGUGAAAUGCGUAGAUAUCUGGAGGAACACCGGUGGCGAAGGCGGCAUCCUGGACCGAGAUCGACGCUGAGGCGCGAAAGCUAGGGGAGCAAACGGGAUUAGAUACCCGAGUAGUCCCUGAGCGGGCUGGCAAGGCGCAU